AGGUAGUGCAAAAUUGCAAAACUAUACUUGAAACGGAGAAGCGCAGGCACUAGUAUUCCGGCGACGAGUGUUUGUUGCUGCCUGAGCGUGCUUUGCUUUGUGUGUGUAUUUGUGUGUGUGAGUGUGUGUGUGUUUUUUGGAUUUUGUGUUUUUGUUCCCACCCUUGCUGUUGCAUUCUUCCGAGGUUGUGUGUUUUUAUUGCUUCUAGUUGUGACUGCACUUGUGCCGCGGUCUUGCUUCUGUUCCUCUUGGAAUCCAAGUUUCGGAACGGAGGCCUCAUUGUUGUCGUGUUGCUCGUCGUCGUCGUCGUCGUGCUUCUUCUUCCUCCUCCAUUGCUGCCUCCAUUGCUGCCUACUCUGCUCACUAAUCCUAUCAAUUCGCUCACUCUUAGUGUGAAUAUGAGAGACAAGUAUGCGCACUCGCGUCGUUCUCCUUCGGGCUUCGUGCUCCCUGCUCCUCCACCCGUCGUCGUCGCCCCCAAAGAAGGCGUCGUGGCCUCCAGCUUCCUCGACCAAGAUCGAGCCUACUUCCACGCCUACUCUCAUGUUGGUAUUCACGAAGAGAUGAUCAAGGAUCGAGCCCGCACAGAUGCCUAUCGAGAUGCAAUCUUCUUCCACGCUGAUUAUAUUCGAGACAAGGUUGUUAUGGAUGUAGGAUGUGGGACAGGCAUACUCUCCAUUUUUUGUGCUUAUGCGGGUGCUCGAAAGGUUCAUGCCGUGGAUGCGAGUGCCAUUGCAGUGCAGGCAAGAGAGGUGGUGAAGGCAAAUAAUCUUUCCGAUGUUAUUACAGUUCAUCACGGCAGAGUGGAGGACUUACAGAUAUUCGAAGAAGUAGAUGUUAUCGUAUCAGAAUGGAUGGGUUACAUGCUUCUUUACGAGAGCAUGUUAGGUAGCGUCAUAUAUGCUCGAGAUCGAUGGUUAAAGCCUGGUGGUCUCAUGCUUCCCUCUUUUGCAACUUUGUACAUGGCGCCGAUCACCAAUGCUGAGAAAUAUUCAGAAUGCAUCGACUUUUGGCGCAGUGUAUAUGGCAUCGAUAUGUCGGCAAUGUUGCCUUUGGCGAAGCAGUGUUCUUUUGAGGAGCCAUGCAUUGAGACAGUUCCAGCUGAGAGUGUUUUAUCAUGGCCUAUAGUGAUCAAGCAAAUCGAUUGUAAUACAGUGACUGUGAGGGAGCUUGAAACAGUUAAAGCUGACUUCUCUGUGUCCUCCAUUAUGAUGGCUCCCUUACAUGGAUUUUGUAUUUGGUUCGACGUGUCGUUUGGAACUCGAGUUCUUCAAGAAACGGAUUUGCAAUCAGACUCCUCUUUGGAUAGUUCUUUUUCUGGUGAAAAUGACAAUAAUGGAAACAGUCGGACCAAGAAGCGAGCAAAUCCCAGUGAUUGUAUUGUUCUCUCUACAGCUCCUGAUUCUACCCCAACUCAUUGGGCUCAGACCAUUUUGUAUGUAUAUGAUCCAAUUGAAGUAAAACAAGAUCAGGAGAUUUCGGGUUCAAUCGAACUAUCGCAGAGUAAAGAAAAUCCGCGGUUUCUUAACAUUCACUUGAAGUACAGAUCGGGGAAUCGAGAAUGUGUUAAAGAGUCUGUGAUGAGAUGACGAGCUUCUAUCGUUGCCAGGUGGAAGCACAUUGUUGUCAGAAAUCUGAUUGCCCGAGUCCAAUACUCCCUGCAUUCUAAACCUGCAGUGAUAUAGCAGGUGGAGGCACAAUUUUUGUUAGAAAUCCGACUACCGAGUUGAGCACCUCCACGAAUCGUAGCAAGGACCUGAAUAGAUUGCCGAUUAAGACCACAUACCACAGAAAAUUGAUGUCAUCAAAUUGCACCCACAGACUUAGAGGACUCCAAACAUUGCGGUUUGCAACAUAACUUAAGGUUUGAAAAGUCAAGUGAAAACACAUCAGAACCACCACUGUUACCGACACAAGCGCUCGAUUAAGCUUCUCGCAAGUUCAUAGUGGCCUUGUGGGAUAAUAUGUGAAUUAUUCGAGAUGAGAGUGCUAAUUUAGAAUAGCACAAUUCCAGAUAAUAUGCAUUAAAGUGUGAAUCUUAAUUAGUGACAAUUGAACAAGCUCAAGUUUCUGUAAGGAAAGGUAAGUUGAAUUGACAUUUAUUUAUGGAUCUUUAACUAGAAUCCAUAAGCUUCACUUACAUGGCAUUUGUAAAUUGGUGAAAAAA